rnacentral:rRNA from 1 species
GACGAACGCUGGCGGCGUGUUUUACACAUGCAAGUCGAGCGAUGAAGCUCCUUCGGGAGCGGAUUAGCGGCGGACGGGCGAGUAACACGUGGGUAACCUGCCUCAUAGAGGGGAAUAGCCUUUCGAAAGGAAGAUUAAUACCGCAUAAGAUUGUAGUGCCGCAUGGCAUAGCAAUUAAAGGAGUAAUCCGCUAUGAGAUGGACCCGCGUCGCAUUAGCUAGUUGGUGAGGUAACGGCUCACCAAGGCGACGAUGCGUAGCCGACCUGAGAGGGUGAUCGGCCACAUUGGGACUGAGACACGGCCCAGACUCCUACGGGAGGCAGCAGUGGGGAAUAUUGCACAAUGGGGGAAACCCUGAUGCAGCAACGCCGCGUGAGUGAUGACGGUCUUCGGAUUGUAAAGCUCUGUCUUCAGGGACGAUAAUGACGGUACCUGAGGAGGAAGCCACGGCUAACUACGUGCCAGCCGCCGCGGUAA